CUCACCCAGAGAGGAUGUGCCUCACCCAGUGCCUGGCACAUAGUAAGCACUGACUAGUCUGUUGAAAAUGAACGAGCGAGUGAAUGAGUGGAUGGAGA